AUUGAACGCUGGCGGCAUGCUUUACACAUGCAAGUCGGACGGCAGCACAGAGAAGCUUGCUUCUUGGGUGGCGAGUGGCGAACGGGUGAGUAACAUAUCGGAACGUACCGAGCAGUGGGGGAUAACUAAUCGAAAGAUUAGCUAAUACCGCAUAUUUUCUGAGGAAGAAAGCAGGGGACCAUUUGGCCUUGCGCUGUUUGAGCGGCCGAUAUCUGAUUAGCUAGUUGGUGGGGUAAAGGCCUCACCAAGGCGACGAUCAGUAGCGGGUCUGAGAGGAUGAUCCGCCACACUGGGACUGAGACACGGCCCAGACUCCUACGGGAGGCAGCAGUGGGGAAUUUUGGACAAUGGGCGCAAGCCUGAUCCAGCCAUGCCGCGUGUCUGAAGAAGGCCUUCGGGUUGUAAAGGACUUUUGUCAGGGAAGAAAAGGGCGGGGUUAAUACCCCUGUCUGAUGAACGGUACCUGAAGAAUAA
rnacentral:rRNA from 1 species